GAUGAAGAACGUAGCGAAAUGCGAUAAGUAGCGUGAAUUGCAGAAUUUAGUGAAUCAUCGAAUCUUUGAACGCACAUUGCGCCCUUUGGUAUUCCUUAGGGCAUGCCUGUUCGAGCGUCAUCUACACCCUCAAGCACAGCUUGGUGAUGGGCGCCUGUCCCGCCCCCCACGGGGGCGCGGACUCGCCUCAAAUGCAUUGGCGGCCGGCGACCUGGCUUCGAGCGCAGCAGAAACGCGUACUCGGGGACCGGGCGCCCGCUCCCAGAAGCCAACCCACCCAGUUUGACCUCGGAUCAGGUAGGGAUACCCGCUGAACUUAAGCAUAUCAAUAAGCGGAGGA
rnacentral:misc_RNA from 1 species